AAAUUGAAGAGUUUGAUCAUGGCUCAGAUUGAACGCUGGCGGCAGGCUUAACACAUGCAAGUCGAACGGUAACAGGAAGCAGCUUGCUGCUUUGCUGACGAGUGGCGGACGGGUGAGUAAUGUCUGGGAAACUGCCUGAUGGAGGGGGAUAACUACUGGAAACGGUGGCUAAUACCGCAUAACGUCGCAAGACCAAAGAGGGGGACCUUCGGGCCUCUUGCCAUCAGAUGUGCCCA
rnacentral:rRNA from 2 species